rnacentral:misc_RNA from 1 species
GGAAGGAUCAUUCAAACGACUUUUACUUUAUUGUAAAGGUUUUAGUUGUAGACACAAUACACCAAAAAAAAUUCAUAAAAUUUUACUGUUGGACUAUUCGGUUUGGACUAUGAUGAAGGAUGCUACAAAAUGUGAAAAGUGAAGGCUCGUGUUGCUUUUGAACCUUCAAAUAUCCGAAUCUUGUUAGAGUCACUUAGGUGAAUGAAUGAAUGAUAUAUUUUUCAUAAAGGAAAAUUAAGAUUUUUCUAUAUUCCAUCUUCAUUCUGGAGAAAAGAACCAAAACAAUUGAAA